UCCGUAGGCGGGUAAUUAAGUCAGAGGUGAAAUCCCACAGCUUAACUGUGGAACUGCCUUAGAUACUGGUUAUCUUGAGUUUUAGUGAAGUAGAUAGAAUGUGUAGUGUAGCGGUGAAAUGCAUAGAUAUUGCACAGAAUACCGAUUGCGAAGGCAGUCUACUAACUAACAACUGACGCUAAUGGACGAAAGCGUGGGGAGCGAACAGGAUUAGAUACCCUGGUAGUCC
rnacentral:rRNA from 1 species